rnacentral:rRNA from 1 species
AGCGAACGCUGGCGGCAGGCCUAACACAUGCAAGUCGAACGAAGUCUUCGGACUUAGUGGCGGACGGGUGAGUAACACGUGGGAACGUGCCUUUAGGUUCGGAAUAACUCAGGGAAACUUGUGCUACUACCGAAUGUGCCCUUCGGGGGAAAGAUUUAUCGCCUUUAGAGCGGCCCGCGUCUGAUUAGCUAGUUGGUGAGGUAAAGGCUCACCAAGGCUACGAUCAGUAGCUGGCCUGAGAGGAUGACCAGCCACAUUGGGACUGAGACACGGCCCAAACUCCUACGGGAGGCAGCAGUGGGGAAUCUUGCGCAAUGGGCGAAAGCCUGACGCAGCCAUGCCGCGUGGAUGAUGGAGGUCUUAGGAUUGUAAAAUCCUUUCACCGGUGAAGAUAAUGACUGUAGCCGGAGAAGAAGCCCCGGCUAACUUCGUGCCAGCAGCCGCAGUAAAAC